rnacentral:rRNA from 1 species
UACGGAGGGUGCAAGCGUUAUCCGGAUUCACUGGGUUUAAAGGGUGCGUAGGCGGACAGGUAAGUCAGUGGUGAAAUCUCUGGGCUUAACCCAGAAACUGCCGUUGAUACUAUUUGUCUUGAAUAUCCUGGAGGUAGGCGGAAUAUGUCAUGUAGCGGUGAAAUGCUUAGAUAUGACAUAGAACACCGAUAGCGAAGGCAGCUUACGUACAGGAUGAUUGACGCUGAGGCACGAAAGCGUGGGGAGCAAACAGG